rnacentral:rRNA from 1 species
ACUCCUACGGGAGGCAGCAGUGGGGAAUUUUGGACAAUGGGCGAAAGCCUGAUCCAGCAAUGCCGCGUGAGUGAAGAAGGCCUUCGGGUUGUAAAGCUCUUUUGUCAGGGAAGAAACGGUGAAAGCUAAUAUCUUUUGCUAAUGACGGUACCUGAAGAAUAAGCACCGGCUAACUACGUGCCAGCAGCCGCGGUAAUACGUAGGGUGCAAGCGUUAAUCGGAAUUACUGGGCGUAAAGCGUGCGCAGGCGGUUUUGUAAGUCUGAUGUGAAAUCCCCGGGCUCAACCUGGGAAUUGCAUUGGAGACUGCAAGGCUAGAAUCUGGCAGAGGGGGGUAGAAUUCCAGGUGUAGCAGUGAAAUGCGUAGAUAUGUGGAGGAACACCGAUGGCGAAGGCAGCCCCCUGGGUCAAGAUUGACGCUCAUGCACGAAAGCGUGGGGAGCAAACAGGAUUAGAUACCCGGGUAGUCCCAUG